rnacentral:lncRNA from 1 species
UGACCUUUCUCUGUCACUUCUCCGAGUUUUGAAAAACUCACAAUACUUUAAGGAACAAUACCUAGCCUUUCUGAUGACACAAUGAAUUCCUGUGCAUUCCAAUCUUAGAAUCUGUAGGGCAUGGAGACUGCUCUGUGGCACAACUAGAGAAGGAGAGAUGUGGGGGACAGUUGGAAGAGUGGUAAAGCAGUAGAGGCAGAAUGCUCAUUUUGGUAAUCAAGGAGCACCAAGGCAAAAAUUUGCUUUUCUGAGUUCACAUCACAUGUGUGAGUAAAGCUAACGAAAGGGGGUGAGGUAUGUACAGCUGCAUUGGGAACAUGGCUAAUUCAAGGCAAACUCGUUUGGCUCAGAGGGAACAACCAGUUACUUCAGGCAAGCAGCAGAAGCCCACUUGUUAAUGAGCAGCUGGUUCCUGUUGAAUGCCAUCAGGAUGAUUCAGCCACCCACCAGGAACACCAGUAACAGCAAGUGCACGCACAGAAAUCUGCAAAACUUUCUUCUUUUGAUGCCAACACUAUUACUCUGGCAAAGUCAAAACCCUUUAUGGAUUUACCAGUUCAACUAAAUGUGACCUUGUUCCCCUCACAAAUACCAGCUCACUCUCAAAUAAACACAACUUCUGGCUGAUUAAAAUGCAACGUUCUUCCACAGUUGAGUGCACCCUGCAGUGAGUCCCUCCUCUGUGCUGUGUCUACAUUCUCUCCCUUUUUCAUUUUUUCACUGUUCAAUGAAACUUCAAAGGAUGAAUGAGAUCCAUAUACACUCAGAGUCCACCUUGUAUGUUGUCCUGCUUACUGCUGACCACAUGCAUUUAAAGUUAUGCCUCAAGUUGUUUUAUUGUUUCUAUUUUUAAGAAGUUUUCCAUUUCCACAGAAUGUGGUAAUAUGCCUUGAAAAACAGAAAUGUGUAGAUAAACUGUGCUGACCACAGACUUCAUUAAUACAUGAUUUCCAUGCCAUACUCUAGCCAGUUAAAAAUUCUAUACCUUCCUCCUUCAAAUCUAGACCAGAUUACAGACUUAAAGGAAGAAAAUGCCAAAGAUGACAGCUAGCUAUCAAAAAUGUUCUAGUGCCUCAUUUUCAGGUCUCCAAAGUAAAAUCUAAGGGCAUUCGACAAAGAUUCAGGUGCUCUCAAUAGCCAUGAAAAUAUAUGGCUGAAGAGGGAAUCUGUAAAUGUAAUGAAUACACAAUUGGCUUAUAACAGAUGCAACCAAAAUUAAAUUCAAGAUCUUGACCUACUCUUCAAAGUGAAAGUUUUUAGUUCAUGCUACAGAGAG